CAGUCGCCACGGGAAUACGUAGGUGGCAAGCGUUGUCCGGAAUUAUUGGGCGUAAAGCGCGCGCAGGUGGUUUAAUAAGUCUGAUGUGAAAGCCCACGGCUCAACCGUGGAGGGUCAUUGGAAACUGUUAAACUUGAGUGCAGGAGAGAAAAGUGGAAUUCCUAGUGUAGCGGUGAAAUGCGUAGAGAUUAGGAGGAACACCAGUGGCGAAGGCGGCUUUUUGGCCUGUAACUGACACUGAGGCGCGAAAGCGUGGGGAGCAAACAGGAUUAGAUACCCCGGUAGUCCCUGUCUCUUAUAC
rnacentral:rRNA from 1 species